UAGUUAUUAGAAAGACAGACGAACAAUAAAGCGGCCUGGCACCGCAGGAGGGGAUACUGCUAUUGCACUUCAUUAAAAGAAAGUUGCUUGUUUAGAGCACAAUGAUAUGUGGUCACGCUUUCAAGUACCCGUGUCAGCCUGCGAAUAUAUAGCGCCUGAGAGAGUACAUGGAAGACAUUAUUAUUACACAAUGUCAGCCGGCUCUCCAGGACAACCAUUAGACUAUAAAUACACCCUCCUGAUCAUUAAUGCUCCGCUGUAGGGUCACACAGGAGUCAGCUCUGCAGCAAAGUCCUCUCUCCAUAGAUUGCUCGGAGAUACUGCAGCUGAUUCUCAGACAUUUUUGCAAUUUUUAAAGGUCAAAUGACGAAAAAAUUCAAUACGAUUCAAUACAGCCGGGAGGUCAUUGUCAGAUGCUGAGCUUUUAUUUAGCUAUGAAGGUGGCUGGUAUUGAAUUUCUUUGUCUGAGAGAGGCCACAGAAACAAGAAGUAGCCAUUUCCCAAAAACAAGCCAGCAACGUGAUGGGGGACACAGGACAUGGCCAUUUACCACCAACACAAGCACAGAUCCUUGGCAAAAAUCAUCAAUAUACGGUAUCUUCUUCCUCUAGAAACUGAUUUGCAUUUGAAUUGACUUUUCUUUAUGAUUUUCUGAAAAAUGGAAACUAAGCAAAAACAUAAGAAAAAAAAUAUAUAAUUAUUAUAUUAUAAAAUAAUAAUAAUAAUAAUAAUAUUCCCCCUAUAGCAGCCUUAUAUGUUAUGUAGCCAGAAAAUGCCUGCACAACCUUUCCAAGUCUUUGAGAAGCUUUUAUUUGUUCUCCAUUGCUAUUGAGUUGUGCAAUGUUGUCAAAUAUGUCUCCAUUUCUUGUCCACUUGUCUUCAUAGACACAUUAAAGUAUACCACAGAAA